CGUGGCAUGAGCUGGCAUUCCUAAUAUGCAACAGAAUGACGCUCCUCAAAGAGCCAGAGCAUAGGCCAUUAUUUUCUGGAUUGUAUCAUGAACAAACUUCACCCUAGUUGAAGGGAUUAGCAGUAGCAGGUAGAGGAACUUCAGCCUAGGGGUUUAUUGUGAAGCUCAGACUCAAUAUUUUAGUUUGCAAGAUGGGCUCCUUGCCAUGUGACAUUAAGACUGGCAGGGAGAACAACAGAUACAACAGAGGUAAAGAUGAGGCUUGAUCUGAUCUUUGUAUUGCCAAGAGCCAAGCACAGGCCCAUUUGGAGGCCAUAUUUCAGAUGCCUUCCCUUCCAUUUGAAGAAAAAAAAAGCUCUGUUGAAUUGGAGUGCUCAUGUGUCUUCAUUUCAGUGUCAACUCAUGAAAGUUCUCCUUUAUACUCAGGCAUUGAGGAAGUUAGAAAUUAGGUCACCUGCUACCCUCUAUCCUUGAAAUGAGGACAUCAGAUGGACUGAGAACGGCCGAAGUCUGGGCACAUAACAACUUCAUCCAAACCCUGCACUAAGGGAUGUGACCAAACUCUAGCAUGGCUUCUAACAGCAUAAGGCCUGGUCCCUUGGGUGGCAUACACCCUAGCCCCCAAAGAGUGCCUGUGUGAGAAAGAUUAACGCUCCAGGAAAAUUUACUAUUUGUUCUAGCAUCACCCAUGAUAGGCCUCUGACCUCCCUUUCUGAGAGCAUUUAUUUAAAAGAACUUACAGUUGUGAAUAUGUGUCUCUUGCAACUCAGAAGCAUCUCUCUCUCUCUCAAGGAGAGGAGUUGAGAACCAUUCCUUUGAAAUGCAGUCAUUAAGAAGGGUAAGGCCUUUCUUUCUCUCUCCCAGGCUGUGGGAGGAUGGAAUCCUAACUUGGAUAAUGGCCAGCUGACAGACACAGCUUGCCUAAUCACAUUUACACUGACCAACACUUUGUACUUUUAUACAUCUCUGACACUAUGGAGCUCACACUCCCUCUCUCUUCUUCUCCCUUUCAAACUGCCAGUCACCACUGCACAAAACAAAAUGAUCUCAACUCUUGCCCCUACUGUCAGUAGUUGCUGAAUAAAGUCUGUUUUUACCACCUAAACCA
rnacentral:lncRNA from 12 species